UGAGGAAUAUUGGACAAUGGGCGCAAGCCUGAUCCAGCCAUGCCGCGUGCAGGAAUAAGCAUCUAUGGUGUGUAAACUGCUUUUGUACGGGAAGAAACACUCCUUCGUGAAGGAGCUUGACGGUACCGUAAGAAUAAGGAUCGGCUAACUCCGUGCCAGCAGCCGCGGUAAUACGGAGGAUCCAAGCGUUAUCCGGAAUCAUUGGGUUUAAAGGGUCCGUAGGCGGUUUAGUAAGUCAGUGGUGAAAGCCCAUCGCUCAACGAUGGAACGGCCAUUGAUACUGCUAGACUUGAAUUAUUAGGAAGUAACUAGAAUAUGUAGUGUAGCGGUGAAAUGCUUAGAGAUUACAUGGAGUACCGAUUGCGAAGGCAGGUUACUGCUAAUGGAUUGGCGCUGAUGGACGAAAGCGUGAGGAGCGAACA
rnacentral:rRNA from 1 species